CCCACAGACUGUAAAUAUUACUGGACGAACCCUGACCCGUCUGUUACAUAGGCAGCAAAUGAGUCCAAUCGAGGGCCGCAUCCAUAUUGGAUUUGCAGUCUCAACCUAACUUCGGCUCAAUCUAGACACAGCAGUAAGGCGGGGCCGGCGGGACUUAACUCCGCCCAUUCAGUUCGACGUUCCAUUUCACAUCAAAGCAUAGCUAACAGCUAGGCUGCUAUCAUCCCCUAUUCCUGCUGGUCCUGAGAAAACUCUAUAAACAACACAGUGUGGAUUAUUGGUGACUUGUCCGUCGAGGUGCCCAGAGAGCUGCAGAGACAGAGGAAGAAACCUGAGCCUCAACAACAUCUGUAUGUGUUGGUUCUUCUGGGGUGGACUUCGGUUGCUUCUCUUCAACAGCUCGCUGUGAGGGAGGUCUCCCCCGGAUGGCCUGAGUGAUGUCACCCACAGGCUGAGAGCUGAGGCUGAGGCGGGUUUUAAGCCUCUUGACAAACCGUUACACCGCGCCCACCUGUCAAGCUGGUCAGCUACACGCCUUAUUGUGAAUAACUCUUAUCCUUCAUCAAAUCAAACGACCCCCGUACAGUGUGUCGAUCGAGACAUGAGCUAAUCAGACCUAUUUGUCUGUUUUGUACCAAGCUGUGAACAUUUUAAUCUCUGCUGUAAAAACAGGCUUUUUGAAUGUGGUUUUUCAGAUUAAAUAAAUAUUUCUAUAUAAAUGCA